AGAAGAUGAAGUUCCCAAAGAAAAAACCAAAGCAGCUACAUCAAAGAAAGAUGCUGAAGCAAAAGAAAAGGGCAAACUAGCGGCAGAAAAGAAAGGGAAAGACAAACCAACUCCUGCAAAUGAAGAUGUCGCAGUUGUUAAAGAAAAGGUGAAAUCAGCCCCUGCAAAGAAAGAGCCCAAAGAAACUAAGGAACCAGCCAAACCAGAACCUGCAAAGAAAGAAGAUGAAGUUCCCAAAGAAAAAACCAAAGCAGCUACA